rnacentral:rRNA from 1 species
GAUGAACGCUGGCGGCGUGCCUAAUACAUGCCAGUCGAGCGAACAGACGAGGAGCUUGCUCCUCUGACGUUAGCGGCGGACGUGUGAGUAACACGUGUAUAACCUACCUAUAAUACUGGGAUCACUUCGGGAAACCGGAUCUAAUCCCGUAUAAUAUAUUGAACCGCAUUGUUCAAUAGUGAAAUACGGUUUUUCUGUCACUUAUAGAUGGAUCCGCGCCGCAUUAGCUAGUUGUUACGGUAACAGCUUACCAAGGCAACGAUGCGUAGACGACGUGAGAGGCGGAUCGCCGACACUGGAACUGAGACACGGUCCAGAGUACUACGAGAGGGAGCAGUAGGGAAUGUGACGCAGUGGGCGAAAGUAUGACGGAGUAACGGGGAGUGAGAGACGACAGUGUUCGGAGCGUGAUGCCCUGUUACGAGGGAAGAACCAAUGUGUAAGUAAAUAAGCACGGCUUGACGGUAAUGGAUCAGAAAGCACCGGCUAGCUACGUG